rnacentral:rRNA from 1 species
CGUACACUCCUACGGGAGGCAGCAGUGGGGAAUAUUGGACAAUGGGCGCAAGCCUGAUCCAGCCAUGCCGCGUGAGUGAUGAAGGCCCUAGGGUUGUAAAGCUCUUUCACCGGUGAAGAUAAUGACGGUAACCGGAGAAGAAGCCCCGGCUAACUUCGUGCCAGCAGCCGCGGUAAUACGAAGGGGGCUAGCGUUGUUCGGAUUUACUGGGCGUAAAGCGCACGUAGGCGGACUAUUAAGUCAGGGGUGAAAUCCCGGGGCUCAACCCCGGAACUGCCUUUGAUACUGGUAGUCUUGAGUGCGAGAGAGGUGAGUGGAAUUCCGAGUGUAGAGGUGAAAUUCGUAGAUAUUCGGAGGAACACCAGUGGCGAAGGCGGCUCACUGGCUCGAUACUGACGCUGAGGUGCGAAAGCGUGGGGAGCAAACAGGAUUAGAUACCCGUGUAGUCCCAU